UACGAGGGAUGCAAGCGUUAUCCGGAAUUAUUGGGCGUAAAGAGUUUGUAGGUGGUCAAGUGUGUUUAAUGUUAAAUGUUAAAGCUUAACUUUAAAACUGCAUUAAAAACUGCUUGUCUUGAGUAUGGUAGGGGUAAAGGGAAUUCCCAGUGUAGCGGUGAAAUGCGUAGAUAUUGGGAAGAACACUAAACAGCGAAGGCACUUUGCUAGGCUAAUACUGACACUGAGAAACGAAAGGUAAGGUAGCGAAACGG
rnacentral:rRNA from 1 species